UGUCGUCAGCUCGUGUCGUGAGAUGUUGGGUUAAGUCCCGCAACGAGCGCAACCUUGUCUUAUGUUGCCAGCACGUGAUGGUGGGGACUCGUAAGAGACUGCCGGGGUCAACUCGGAGGAAGGUGGGGACGACGUCAAGUCAUCAUGCCCCUUAUGUCCAGGGCUUCACACAUGCUACAAUGGCCAGUACAGAGGGCUGCGAGGACCGUGAGGUGGAAGCGAAUCCCUUAAAGCUGGUCUCAGUUCGGAUCGGGGUCUGCAACUCGACCCCGUGAAGUCGGAGUCGCUAGUAAUCGCAGAUCAGCAACGCUGCGGUGAAUACGUUCCCGGGCCUU
rnacentral:rRNA from 1 species